UUCCCAUUCCCAUUCAGAUGUGUCAUGAUAUCCCACUGUUGUGAUGAGGACCAACACCUGAUAUUCCAUUUGGCUAGCCUCGAAUUUGAUGGCAUGAGCAUCGAUUUCUCAAACGGCCCCCUCCCCUUCACCAGUUCCCACCCCUUUUCCCUCUCUCACCUUAUCUCCUGGCCUGUCCUUGACCUCUCUCUGCUGCUGCUCCCCCCUUUUGUUUCUUCCACGGCCUUCCGUCUUUUUUGCCAAUUUACUUCCCAGCUCUUUAUUUCAUCCCCUCCCCCUUCAGAUUUCACCUAUCGCCUGGGUGUUUCUCUCUCCUCCCCUCUACCUUUCAAAUCUUCUCCUCAGCUUUUUCUCUCCAGUCCUGCCGAACGGUUGCUGUCCGAAAAAACAUAAAUUGUGCUCUUUUCCAUAGGUGCUGCCUGGCCUGCUGAGUUCCUCCAGCAUUUUGUGCAUGUGACUGAGGAGAUGCUGCCUGACCCGCAGAGUUCCUCCGGCACCUUUCAUGUGUUGUUUCAGAUUUGGACACCAUGUGGUUAACGCGACACUUUACAGAACCGGUGACCCGGCAUCAAUUCCCACUGCUUUCUGUGAGGAGUUUGUACGUUCCUUCUGUGAUUGCAUGGGCUUCCUCUCACAGUCCAAAGAUGUACCAGUUGGAUAACUCUGAGAAGCUCAUAAAAGGUCCCUUGCAGUUCUUCAGAGACAAGAGUGGGAGAGUUGUCACUGAGGUGCUGGCCAGUGUUGACACUGAUAGUUUAGUCGUUAUCAUGAAGAGUUUGCUGCGUGCAAAUUUGUUUCCUCAUUUCCAAUUGCUGGAAGGACUCUGUUGGCUGUGAAGCACUAGUACAAGUCCUUUAUAUCUGAAACAAUUACAUAUUUCAUGAUCUGACUCUACGCAUUCAUUGUAACCCUU